rnacentral:rRNA from 1 species
ACUCCUACGGGGGGCAGCAGUGGGGAAUAUUGCGCAAUGGGCGAAAGCCUGACGCAGCGACGCCGCGUGAGGGAUGAAGUAUUUCGGUAUGUAAAGCUCUAUCAGCAGGGAAGAAAAUGACGGUACCUGACUAAGAAGCCCCGGCUAACUACGUGCCAGCAGCCGCGGUAAUACGUAGGGGGCAAGCGUUAUCCGGAUUUACUGGGUGUAAAGGGAGCGUAGACGGCAGUGCAAGUCAGGAGUGAAAGCCCGGGGCCCAACCCCGGGACUGCUCUUGGAACUGCGUGGCUGGAGUGCAGGAGGGG